AAGCUUUUGUCCAAAGGAGUAGGUUCAGUAAGACCCCUUUUUGGCCCCAAAAUAUAGCAGUUUUACAAAAUUGUUAAAAUGUAAACCUUUAGUUAUUUAUUGGGCAGUAGAAUGCUUCUGCUACAUAAAUAUGGGCUGUUUUUGACAAUACAAUGCACAUAUAUCCGGUACUAGCACCAUUAAGUCAUGCUAAAUUACUGAAAUCCUCAUAAUUCUAGCAUUUUAGUUAAAUUUAAGACGGUUUUCGUGUAAAACGAAAGUGGACGCAUUCGUGUUCAUCCUUAAUAUUGAAAUGUAAGUUGUAUUUGAUGAUAAUACAUAACAUAUAUAAAGGUUGAGGAUGAACACGGAUGCGGCCACUUUCAUUUUUACCAAAAAACCAUCUGAAAAGUGACAUUUUUCGGCAUAUUAGGUAGAUUUUUCAUAUUUGAGCUUGAAUCGGAUCGUUUUUAAUGACUAAAUCUGUUAAAAUCUUUCACAUAAACUGAUUAAUUCAAAUAAAAUAGACACUUAAGUGUUUAAAAAGGGGUCAAAAUCUUUCGUCAGAUGAACCUGAAAUUUGAGGCCAAAAUCGGUCCUUACCGGACCUACUCCUUU
rnacentral:lncRNA from 1 species